AACAGCUUCAUGCUCGUGUUCGUCCAGCUCGUCCUGGUCAGGAAGUGUAGUUCAGGCUGUGUGAGCUGCUGAUAGAAAAUUGAACAAAUAAAAUAAAUCAAAGCUCAACCGCAAAUGUUUAAUUGAUUGUAGGCUUCUCUAAAUACCUUUAACUUAACCCGUAAAUGAAAGGAUAAGACAUAUUGUGGCGCGCGGCAGCGCCGGCGUGUGUGUUUGGACGGGGCGAAGAAGGACGCGGAGACAGCGUUCAUAACGAAUGAUUUAUUCGAACACCGGCACAAAGGAAAUGAUGCUCUCGGCCCGAGGACUCCGUUUCUUCCAGGACCUGUGCUUACGGCCAGCCUGCCUAGCGCUCCUAGGUUCUCCCUCAACACACUGGCAGACACAGUCAACCCACCAUUUCCCCCCGAAGUGCCCCCAGCGGUUACAGACGUUAUUUACAGAUUUCCUAUAAUGCAACUAUUUACAUUAAAUCACUAACGCGGGUCGUUACAAUAUUAUGAUAGUGGAACGGACCGGCGGUGUAGACAUUCUCAAUCAUUCUAAUUGAGAAAUUCUAAGAUCCUCUUUUUUCCUCGUUUUCUACUUCCCUGCCCCUCUUCUUCUUCUGUCUCUUCUGUUCUCUUUCUUUGUCCAUCGAUUUUUGUUUACUGAAGUUCACGGAAAACGAUGAGUUACACUUGUGCCCAUGAUAAAGCGACGUACUGGUGGUGUAACCCUUCAAAUAUCUUUCAUAUGAGAAAAAAUGGGGCAAUCCAAAAUCAAGGUCUGGGACAGGUGGGAAUCUUCCAAGGUGCUUACGUCGUCCAGGGCAUGAGACAAGAGUCAGAAUCUGUCAAAUUAGACUGUAGGUCGGGAACAUGGAAUCUCAAGAACCAGGAACAACAAGGGCAAAGGGGCAAGGAAGACCAGAAAGGAGGUAAGAAGCGUGCGUGCAGCAUCUCAGGCAAGAAUGGUGAGAAUUUACAAGGUUCCAUGACCUGGUUAGUCCAUGUGGCUCUGCUUAUGUCCCAUUGCUCUGAUGAGGCACAGGUGUGGUUGUUUGGUCCGGUGGCGGCGGCAUGACACAGCGUUUACACAUUCAUUCAACUGUUUAUAUACUGUAUUUUUAAAAAAAAAACAGAACAAAGAAACAAGAGUCAUGAGGCCUUUUGCCUGAUCUCAUCUCCUCAAGUGUCUGUCAAUGGUGACUGAGCUUCAGCACUACCUGCUGCACCACUGUGCCGCUAUAAUGUGCUCCUGACAGUUCUUGACACUUUUUUUUUACUCAAGCACAUCAGUUAAUGCAAAAUACAGCUUAAACUUAGUCAUGUUUAAAGAGACGCAGAGAGAGAACUCAACAUUCCAGAAUUUUUAUUUCAUUACCGACAGUAGCUGAUACAAUAGCCCAAUGCCUUGGAACCAAUACUGUAUAUUUACAUGUGUAAAGUUCAUGGCAUCGUUCACCUUUCUGUCUAAGUGAUGUUUCGUAUCUGGUUUGAUCAACUGAUAGAAAAUAUAUUCAGCUUUGAAAUAAGUUAUAUUUCAUGGAAAUCGGUUGAGAAUUGCCCAAAAAAGAAGAACUUUUAGGAGAGAAAUUGAGAGCAUCCAGAGCCUUGUCCUGUUGUUGCAAGGUGAAUCACUUUAACCAGUAUAGUGGAAGACAUUACUGUCACGGUGCAGGCAUUUUUAUUUUGCAGGGCUUUCUAUUUAUGCCUACAGAUGGUGUUUUUAAAAUGAAAGCUUAGAAGUGAUUGGUCCAAACGGAGGAAGUGAUGCAGGACUGAUGAUUGUCAGCGAUGAGAUGACGGUCAGAGAUGAGAACUAAUGGUUGACAUCAGACCUGUAGAAGAAAUAAAAAUACACCAAAACCCUGUACA
ensembl:lncRNA